rnacentral:rRNA from 1 species
AGCAGCAGCCGCGGGAAUACAGAGGGUGCGAGCGUUAAUCGGAUUUACUGGGCGUAAAGCGUGCGUAGGCGGCUAAUUGAGUCGGAUGUGAAAUCCCCGAGCUUAACUUGGGAAUUGCAUUCGAUACUGGUUAGCUAGAGUGUGGGAGAGGAUGGUAGAAUUCCAGGUGUAGCGGUGAAAUGCGUAGAGAUCUGGAGGAAUACCGAUGGCGAAGGCAGCCAUCUGGCCUAACACUGACGCUGAGGUACGAAAGCAUGGGGAGCAAACAGGAUUAGAUACCCGAGUAGUCCCUGUCUCUUAUAC